AUUCAUUUAGUAUAAAAAGUAUAUUAAGCUUCCAACUUAAGGGUUUAUUAAUAAAAUGAAUU
rnacentral:tRNA from 1 species